rnacentral:rRNA from 1 species
CUAUACAUGCAGUCGAGCGAANGACGAGGAGCUUGCUCCUCUGACGUUAGCGGCGGACGGGUGAGUAACACGUGGAUAACCUACCUAUAAGACUGGGAUAACUUCGGGAAACCGGAGCUAAUACCGGAUAAUAUAUUGAACCGCAUGGUUCAAUAGUGAAAGACGGUUUUGCUGUCACUUAUAGAUGGAUCCGCGCCGCAUUAGCUAGUUGGUAAGGUAACGGCUUACCAAGGCAACGAUGCGUAGCCGACCUGAGAGGGUGAUCGGCCACACUGGAACUGAGACACGGUCCAGACUCCUACGGGAGGCAGCAGUAGGGAAUCUUCCGCAAUGGGCGAAAGCCUGACGGAGCAACGCCGCGUGAGUGAUGAAGGUCUUCGGAUCGUAAAACUCUGUUAUUAGGGAAGAACAAAUGUGUAAGUAACUAUGCACGUCUUGACGGUACCUAAUCAGAAAGCCACGGCUAACUACGUGCCAGCAGCCGCGGUAAUACGUAGGUGGCAAGCGUUAUCCGGAAUUAUUGGGCGUAAAGCGCGCGUAGGCGGUUUUUUAAGUCUGAUGUGAAAGCCCACGGCUCAACCGUGGAGGGUCAUUGGAAACUGGAAAACUUGAGUGCAGAAGAGGAAAGUGGAAUUCCAUGUGUAGCGGUGAAAUGCGCAGAGAUAUGGAGGAACACCAGUGGCGAAGGCGACUUUCUGGUCUGUAACUGACGCUGAUGUGCGAAAGCGUGGGGAUCAAACAGGAUUAGAUACCCUGGUAGUCCACGCCGUAAACGAUGAGUGCUAAGUGUUAGGGGGUUUCCGCCCCUUAGUGCUGCAGCUAACGCAUUAAGCACUCCGCCUGGGGAGUACGACCGCCAGGGUGAAACUCACANGAAUUGACGGGGACCCGCACAAGCGGUGGAGCAUGUGGGUUAAUUCUAAGCAACGCCAAGAACCUUACCAAAUCUUGACAUCCUCUGACCCCUCUCGAAAAAGAGUUUUCUCCUCCGGGGGACAGAGAGACAAGUGGUGGAUGGUUGUC